GCCGGCGAGGAGGAAUGAACAAUAAAUACAAGUGAAAGCCUAAAGCCAAGAGCUUCGAGGCUGCCGUGCAAAUGCCCCUGCUCCCCAGCCCUGGUGGAGGGCGGUACUGAAGGAAAAAAAACAGAGCCGGAGUAAUGGGGCCCAGACGUUGCAGAAACCACAUCCCCUGGCUGGUGACGUCAAUGGGCUUUGGCAAAUGCCAAGGAGAGAACAGUCAAGCUGUCAACUUCCAUUACGAUUUAACAAGCACGCCAGAGUCUAAGCUGAACAGGAAAAUCUAGUAAGGAAAUCUACUCAAUGCAGAGGAAAAUAUAUAAUCUACAAGUUAAAAAUAAUCGCAGCACCUGAAAAGCAAUCAGCAGAUGAAGGCACAGCACAGAAAAUAAGAAAUUACAGACCAGUCCAGCUCCCGUGUCUGCUAACACUGCCGGCCUCAGCCUGUUGUGAAACUCUGGGGGCGUAUGAGAGAGAAGACCCUUAAGUCAAUGUAUGAUGGACAGAUACCGCCAACAGUCUGAGGACCGGAGGAAUUCACACAGAGUCAUCAGAGGUUUGAAAAGACUGAUAGUUUUUAAGCAGUUCAAACUUCAGAUCAUAAAAAUGUAACCAAGCAAAUUAACUUGAUAAAGCAAAAAAUCUUUUUAAAAGCAAAUGCAACAUUCUUACUGGAGUGCCAGUCAAUAAUAAAAUCUUUAAUGCCACCAACAAAUAAGAAUGCCCCAGUGAAGGCACCAGAAAUAGCUCAAUAGCAAGCAGUCAUCUGCGGGAACGAGCCACACUGAUCAGUCCCAGGAGGGAGCAGAGAAGGCCGGUCCUAUAGACACGUUUCCUUGCAGCUCUCUAGAAUUUAGUCUUUAUAUUGACUACCCAUAACUUUUCUCCUCUACUCUUACUAAUACAAUGAGUCACAUUGACUGUCUUCAAUGCUUAAAGCGAUCUUACAUUUCUGGAGAAAUCUAUCAGUCUUCCAGUACAUAACGGAUUCAACCUGACCUGCUCUUGGAAAUGUUCUGUUUGAGGCAGGCGUGACCUGACUAUUCUUUCAUAUCCACGUAGGCAGUGUCCAGACUAUGCUGGCCUUAGGAAUAACUCUAAAUGCAUCCUGCUUCCUCUACUUUGACUUUACUUUUCGUGGCACUUCCCAGCUAAGGUCUUUCCUUUCUCCUCUAGCGUCUUGGUUCCUUUCCUCAGCAGGCCCCACCUCAGAGCCCCUCCCGCCAGCCUCUGGUGUAAACAGUACUGCCACCCCAGCCUCAGGACGCCCAGAAGCCAAUGGGGCUGCCUUGUACCCCACAUGGCUGCUGCUCCAGCUGGAAAGGACGGAUACAAAAAGAAAAUGAAAGAUUUCAUUACUGGCAAGUUGUAAUUGCCCCGUUGCGGGGACACGUUUUGCCUCUUUUGCCAUUUUCCUGUUUUCUCUCAGACUUUGGGUUUCACGGUUAUGUUAUGAACCACCUAAGCACGCCUUUCUUUCAGUGGCACGCUGCUUUAGGCCUAAACUACUUCUUGGUCUGUGUUUUAAAAGGCGGCUGUUCUAGAACAAGUAGUUCUGAGUCAGUUGUUACAGCAGGAAGAAGGGACCCUCUGUGGCAGCCCCGGUGUCCUGUGCACUGCUCCUGGGUGUGCCGAGACUGGAAGGUCGCUCAGGUUUUUGCCAGCAUCUUCUCUUGGGACAGAUGCUACAGGCCACAAACACCCUGACAUAGCCCGUGCUUGGCACAUUGCAGUCAGGACCCAUUUCUAGCCUUACGAAGCACGUUGGGGUCUUUGAAGUCACUCAACCACAGAUGUUUCACCAGCUGUGCCUGCCCCAUGCACACUUGGCAGAAGCAUAAAGACCUACGUCUGCCCCUCCAACAGUGAGUGUCCAGCGGAGCCUGGUCAUCCUCUCCUCCUUUUUCUCAGAACCAGCACAUGACCCUUCAGGGGACAGGUGACUGACAAUGCCAGGUUCGUCUCUCCACCUCAUUUAUAUUCUAAAUUAUUUAGGAUGCCUUUUAUAUUUUGUCAAGUUUGGUUUCAUUUUUUUUAGAGUGUUAAUUUAUGUUACCAAACAUAACCAAAAGUUGAAUGAGCCCAAAACCAGACUUAACACCUUCAGUAUUUAAGAGUUUUGUCACUUGCUUUAUUUCCUUUUCUCCGCCUAUGAUCUACACACACACACACAUGCACACACAUGCACACACACAUGUACAUGUACACACGCACAUGCACACACACAUUUAUUUUUAAAAAGUCAUUCUAUGACCAUUUUUAAACCAAA